AGCGAGAUGGCGGUGGCACCGUCCGGCCGGCGCAGUGCCCUGCCAGGGCCCAGCGAUCGCGCCCGCCUGCGGGCCUCAGGCGGCGGCUGCAAGCCCCGGUACGGCGGCGCGGGGCGGCAGCUGCCGCAACGCUGCGCGGGCGGGCGGGCGAGAGAUGCCGAAGCUGCGUGGGGAGGCUUUCUGGAGGGAGACGCUGCGGAGCGCCCAUUACGUGGUGGCGCCCAUGGUGGACCAGAGCGAGCUGGCCUGGAGGCUGCUGAGCCGCCGCCACGGCGCCCAGCUCUGCUACACGCCGAUGCUGCACGCCCAGGUCUUCCUCAGGGACGCCAACUACCGCCGCGAGAACCUCUACGACGAGGCCUGUCCUGAGGAUCGUCCGCUCAUCGUGCAGUUCUGUGCCAAUGACCCUGAAGUGUUUGUCCAAGCAGCGCUGUUGGCUCAGGAUUAUUGUGAUGCCAUAGACCUAAAUUUGGGUUGCCCCCAAAUGAUUGCAAAGAGAGGUCACUACGGAGCCUUUCUGCAAGAGGAAUGGGAUCUUCUUCAGAGAAUGAUUUUACUGGCUAAUGAGAAGCUCUCUGUUCCCAUCACAUGCAAAAUCCGCGUUUUCCCAGAAAUUGACAAGACAGUGAAGUAUGCACAGAUGCUGGAGAAAGCUGGAUGCCAGCUGCUGACUGUGCACGGCCGUACUAAAGAACAGAAGGGACCGCUUGCUGGCGUGGCAUCCUGGGAGCACAUUCAGGCUGUCAGAAAAGCUGUAAGCAUUCCUGUAUUUGCAAAUGGAAACAUCCAGUGUCUCGGUGAUGUUGAAGAAUGUAUCCGUAAGACAGGAGUGCAUGGUGUCAUGAGUGCAGAAGGUAAUCUCCAUAACCCAGCUUUGUUUGAGGGCCGAAACCCAUUGGUGUGGGAGAUGGCUGAGGAGUAUCUGGAGAUAGUGCAGAAGUACCCUUGUCCAUUGUCUUAUGUUAGGGCUCAUCUCUUCAAGCUCUGGCAUCACACGCUUCAAGUUUACCAGCAACUGCGUGAAGAAUUAGCAAAAGUGAAGACUCUAGAGGGCAUUGUAGAUGUCAACAGGGAGCUGAAACUACGAUGCCAGGAAGAAAUAGCUAAUCAGAAAGAAGGAGAAAAGCCAAAAGAAGGGUUGCCUUUCUUCCACUGGAUCUGUCAGCCAUACAUCAGACCAGGGCCAAAGGAGAGAUGCAAGGAGAAUGGAGCCAGUGAAAAAGGUGUGCGAGGAAAACGUGCUUUGGAAGAGGAGGAAGAUGGAAACGCUGAGCUUCUGUCAAAGAAUAAACAAAAAAAGAAGUUAAGAAAUCCAAAUAAAAGCUUUGAUCCAUCUUUAAAACCCAAAUACGCAAAAUGUGAUCAAUGUGGAAACCCUAAGGGCAAUAAAUGUGUGUUUAACAUGUGCCGAGGCUGCUGUAAGAAAAGCGCAUUCAAAGCGACAGCAGACUGCCCAGGUCAUGGAUUACUUUUUAAGACCAAACAUGAAAAAUCCCUUUCAUGGCAGAGUAGUCGAAGAGUAAUUCAAAACCCAGAGGUCAGUCGAAGAGGAGCUGUAGAUGUGGGGGAGACUGCUGUACUGAAGGAGGCUGGUGACAGUGCAGUGUGAAGCUUUGAAAAUGCCUAGUUAAAGAGCUCUGCUAGGCCUCUGCUUCCCUGGGCCAAGGAACAUGCUGUCUCCAGCUCACCAUCAGCUGUGCGAACUUGUUCCUCAGGUUUAUUUUAACUUCCCCAAACCAUCAGAAAGCUCACUCACUGCUCACUGUGCCAGAGAAGAGUUUACAGAGUCAGAAAAGAAAUGAGAAACAUCUGCUGUGCCGACACACCAGUGGACUGGUGCUCUGUGAGACAUCCUUGACCACACAGUGGGAUUUCAGAACACAUCUCUCACAAGCAGUCUCGUCACAGAAUCACCAGUGUGAAGAAAAGGAUCCAACUGGCUUUAGGCUCCUAAAUUCAGGAGGGUCCUGAUACUUGAGAAUCCCAAUUGGACACAUCUCUAUACAGAAUUAGUGUUUAAGACAUAUGCAUCCCCAACCACUCUUCCAAGGUGUUUCUGAAUAGGCAAUGCAGACAGAUGCACACUUAUCUUGUGGGCUUCUGUCCCAUGCUGUGGCAGAAGACUGCAGUGCUCCUCUCACAGGGCUGGAAACUGCUCAGGCAGGCACUGCAACAUGGAACUUCGUUUGUGCAUUAACUACAUCACCACGCUAAUGGAAAAAAGUUUCAACCUAAGCUUCCAACAGACAUUCUAGAAGCUAAUGAGGAGGUGAAGAUGCGACUGAGGAGGUGAAGAUGACCACUCUAUCAUUCCUUAAUAAAAAAAGCUUGUGAAUUAGGAGGCAGUAUUACAACAUAAGUAAAGCUGAGCCAUUUACCAUUCAUGCUGGGCACAUCUGCACCUACACUAACUAGGAAUCACUUUCAGGCAAUAUACUCAUUGCCCUGUUUAUCUGUAAUAAAAAAAUUUCAGCCUGCCAAGUAAGCAAGAUAAUGUCCUAUUUUGUCAUUGUUUCACAGGCCUUCAAAAAGAUAGACAUUAGUUAACUUGAAUGAGAAUACGGGGAGGAAUAGGCAGAGCUCUGCAUGCAGAAUGAUGGUGAAAAUGAUCCUCAGUCUUUGGGUUUGAGGGAGAUUGGAUUCCUGUACCUAAAUCCAUUUUCAGAGGCACACAAAAAAGUAGUAGUCGUUCACCUGACAAAAAGGAAGGUAAAUGCCUGUGUUGGCAAAGAGCUCGUGAGAGGAGACAGACAGGAUUUGUAAAAAAAAAAA